UUUCAAUGAACUAUUCCUAUAUGCUGAAAAGCUUAGUCCAAAUUUAUUUAUUUAUUUAUUUGUUUAUUUAUUUAUUUAUUUUUGAGACAGAGUCUUACUCUCUCACCCAGGGUGGAGUGCAAUGGCAUGAUCUUGGCUCAGUGCAACCUCCGCCUCCCAGCUUCAAGCGAUUCUCCUGCCUCAGCCUCCCACCACUGUCAUAGCACCAUUGUGUAUCUGCCAUCGUGGUCUUUUAAUUUCUGUGAUGUGAAAAGUGGGCCUUUCUCCAAAGGCCUUACAAGCAUUUGCUUUAUACCUUGUUAGAAUGUUCCCACUGAGCACCAA
rnacentral:lncRNA from 1 species